CAGUACUAACUAAAUGCGGUGCUUUACAAAUAAAACUUUCAUGCGAUUCCGCCUACAAGCUGUGCUACAUGUAAAGGUUAUAUUUCAUCGUAUACGCUACAUUCCUCCUGUCGGCGGACAGUUGUUCCACGCACAUGGUUAAAACUUCGCUUUAAAACCUUCAAAAUAAGCAAUUGUCGGAUCAAAAUACUAUCAAAAUGAAGAUAAAAGUGAGACGAAUCCAUUCGUAUAUGGCCGAAAAGGAGAAAACCAACGAUACGAAAGUUAUCAAGGAGCAAACGUACUGCAUUUUUAAUAGCUGAAUAAUAUAAAUUUUGAGAGCGAUUUGUGACAUUUAUCAUCAGUACAAUUUCGCUUGACUUUCAAAGGUCAUAUAUCGCCAGAAUACUGCUGUUCAGUAAUGAGUUUGGUAUCCGUAAUUACAAUUUCGUACGCUGAUUCGAACGAUGGUAUUUUUUUCCUUGUUGGGUCACUUGGAUGUAUAUUAAACCAGAGAUAGUCGGUCUCAGUCAGCGAUUUAGACGGGCAAGGAAUUUUCAGAUAGGCAGUGGAAGCAUUUGUUUCGGAACAAACUCCACCCCCAAAACCGUCUGCUGUCAGGUAGCGGUGCCAAACUUGACAAAUCGGUGGGACACCGCAAUUUUGCAACAGGCGACAGAUCACAAUUAACUGUUCAAUUGGCCAUAUGAUUGUAGUACCAAUGUACCAUCACUGUGAUCUGACAAGUGUAUCACUAUAGGCAGCCCAUUAGCUUUUGACCGCUUGCGCUGAGAGACGGACUUGAACCAAGUCUACCCAUUAGCCCUAGCCUGCGAACAGGCCCUG